AGGUCAGCGCGGCGGUCGAGGUCAGCGAUAAAAAUAAAUUCGUCCGGGAGCGGCCUUGCCAACCGUAUAUUCCACCAAUGAAAACUGCGCUACAGCGAUGGUGCCGAGCCGCGAAAUUCGUCUGCGCACCAUGGCUGAAACGAAGUAGGGAUAUGCGACAGCGAAAUAUUAGUCUUAAUCGAGGAGGUUACCAAGGAGAAGAAGAGGCUUUACCAGAAAAAGAAAAAAUGAAAUAAGAAAGAAAUGAAGCAAUUUAAAAUCUUCCACAAUUUCAUCUCGCAGUCGUCAAAAACAUCCACCAACGGGCGGGGGCAACCACCAGAAACAGUACAAGUGAUAAACAGAGAAAGUGAUAAAUAUUUUAGAUGAUUGCAGACAACUGAUGGACGGCAUAAACAUCGAAGAUAAAACACACCAAGGUGAUGUACAAGCAGCCAGUAUUCCAUCUGUCAACUGAGUCAUCUGAAGAAAACAAAAUACCUGAUGAUACAAAAGAAUCCACAACAAAGAUUAAA